rnacentral:lncRNA from 1 species
CUUUUUUAUUCCUCAAAGUAACUCCACAAAGUAAUAUUGUCACCAUGUUAUAAAUGAGGAAACUGAAAUUCAAAUAAUCAAAUAACCUACUUAAUGUUUUACAUUGCAAAGCUAUGGAACUGGCUUUUGAAUGCAGGACUGACAGGUCUCUAGGCCAUUGGGUCUCUACCAUACCAUGAAGCUUACCCAUAGGUAUCAGGUUCUCAGAAGGACACUCCAGCUGGGGGCAACUUCAGGCCUCUCUUCCCCUCUUCCACUUAGGGAAGUUUUGGGGGGUUUUUUUUGUUUUUUUUUUUUUUUUUGAGCAAGAUCAGCCCUGAGCUAACAUCUGCUGCCAAUCCUGUUUUUGCUGAGGAAGACUGGUCCUGAGCUAACAUCCAUACCCAUCUUCCUUCACUUCCUAUGUGGGACACCUACCACAUCACGGCUUGACAAGUGGUGCCAUGUCCACACCCAGGAUCCCGCCCGCAAACCCUGGGCCGUUGAAAUGGAAUGUGCGCACUUAACAGCUGUGCCAGCCGGCUGGCCGGGAAGUUUUUUCAUUUUAUUUUUUUUAAAUGUCCAUUCAAACCCCAAUUUUAGUGAUCCUAUCUGGAGAGAAAAUGGGUUUGACUACGUGCUCCAUAGGUAGACUAUUUUGGCAUUGCCUAAGCCACCAUGUGUAACAUCAUUCCUGUGAUAGAGUGUGCUCGGAAGUCUAGACAACCAACUUGCAUAUUUGUAAAUUAUUAAGAGUCAACAUUGGGGAGGCUGUCGGCAUGGGACUGUGUUAAAUGAGUCGUCUGGGCAAGGGACUGGUCUGCGACGUCUUCAGAAGAGUGCGGAUUUUACCUGGGCUCUGGAAGACAGGGCUCAAAUUGGCAGACGUUGGAUCGCUUUGGCAGUUUUCCCCAUUGAGCAUCCCCUGUGUUGGUCACUUGUGUUUGCCUGCCUCACACACAAAAUUGUUGGGGACAAGAGGACAUCUCCUUCAGCUGACCAAAGUGACUCACCGAGUGACAAAGGCCUCCCUGUGGAAGAUGCAAUCUCACGGCUCCAUGGGUUGUCUAAGAAAGGCAGCAGAGGAUCACUAAGGAUGUCUUAACUUACACGGGGCAAAUGUGUUACGACGCCGCUUGGCUUCUUCUGCGUCAGUUCUACUCCAGUGCAGGCUGCGAGAAAAAAGAAGACUUGUCCAA